ensembl:lncRNA
UUUAAGGACAAACUACAUCAUCCGUUUUCAUAGUUCGCUAAUUUUUCUUUUAGCUGGUUUAGUUCAACAAAAAUGGAAGAACCUCGGGAAGAGGUUAACGUCAGAAACUUUUGCAGAAACUGGAGGAACUGCUGCAACUAUGUUUUCCAGAACAUAUUUAUGUUUGCGAGUUUGGCGGCUGUUGUUCUCGGUGGUGGGCCCCCACGAGGACUUAUGUGGCUAAUUCCGGCUGAACCUGAUUGGGUCCCAUUGGUUCCCCUUCACCAUGUCCUCUAAUGGAGCGCCUGAUUACCGCCACAGAAGAGGCAACAAUCUGGCAGAAAAGACUGAAAAACCUGCCAAUGGGUGGGCAAACUGAAAGGCUGCCCCACUUCUCUACCUGAGAGGCGACAGAGAGCAAGAAAGAGAAAAAAAAGAGGAAAACAAGCCCAAACACGAAUUAUAUUUAGAAGAAAUGGACUUGCUGUUGGCUUGAUCAUCAGGAGUGUUGACACUCUUACAGAGGUAGAAAAAAACUACCUUGGCUUUC